UAGAGUUUGAUCUGGCUCAGAUUGAACGCUGGCGGCAUGCCUUACACAUGCAAGUCGAACGGUAACGCGGGGCAACCUGGCGACGAGUGGCGAACGGGUGAGUAAUACAUCGGAACGUGCCCAGUAGUGGGGGAUAGCCCGGCGAAAGCCGGAUUAAUACCGCAUACGACCUACGGGUGAAAGGGGGGGAUCGCAAGACCUCUCGCUAUUGGAGCGGCCGAUGUCAGAUUAGGUAGUUGGUGGGGUAAAGGCCUACCAAGCCGACGAUCUGUAGUUGGUCUGAGAGGACGACCAGCCACACUGGGACUGAGACACGGCCCAGACUCCUACGGGAGGCAGCAGUGGGGAAUUUUGGACAAUGGGCGAAAGCCUGAUCCAGCCAUGCCGCGUGCGGGAAGAAGGCCUUCGGGUUGUAAACCGCUUUUGUCAGGGAAGAAAUCCUUUGAGCUAAUACCUCAGGGGGAUGACGG
rnacentral:rRNA from 1 species